rnacentral:rRNA from 1 species
CUACGGGCCGCAGCAGUUAGGAAUAUUCUACAAUGCGCGCAAGCGUGAUAGAUUGAGCCAGAGUGUUUUUCAAAUGAAAAGCUUUUGUGAAAUGUAAAAAGUUUCACGAAUAAGGACUGGGUAAGACUAGUGCCAGCCGCCGCGGUAAUACUAGCGGUCCAAGUCGCAGCCAUUUUUAUUGGGUCUAAAACAUCUGUAGCUUGCUUAAUAAGUUCCUUGUGAAAUUUUAUCUCUCAAAGAUAGAGCGUGCAGGAAAUACUGUUAAGCUAGAGACUGGAAGACGUAACGAGUACGUUCGGAGUAGCGGUAAAAUGUGUUAAUCCUGGACGGACUAACAAUAGCGAAGGCACGUUACGAGGACAGUUCUGACAGUAAGGGAUGAAGGCUAGGGGCGCAAAACGGAUUAGAUACCCCCGUAGUC